UACAGAGGUCUCGAGCGUUGUUCGGAUUCAUUGGGCGUAAAGGGUGCGUAGGUGGCUAGGUAAGUCGGAUGUGAAAUCCCGGGGCUCAACCCCGGAACUGCAUUCGAUACUGCCUGGCUAGAGUACUGGAGAGGAGAUUGGAAUUUACGGUGUAGCAGUGAAAUGCGUAGAUAUCGUAAGGAAGACCAGUGGCGAAGGCGGAUCUCUGGACAGUUACUGACACUGAGGCACGAAAGGCCAGGGGAGCAAACGGG
rnacentral:rRNA from 1 species